CCUACGGGAGGCAGCAGUGAGGCAUAUUGGUCAAUGGUCGCGAGCCUGAACCAGCCACGUAGCGUGAAGGAUGACUGCCCUACGGGUUGUAAACUUCUUUUAUAAGGGAAUAAAGUGAGGCACGUGUGCCUUUUUGUAUGUACUUUAUGAAUAAGGAUCGGCUAACUCCGUGCCAGCAGCCGCGGUAAUACGGAGGAGACGAGCGUUAACCGGUUUUAUUGGGGUUAAAGGGAGCGUAGAUGGGUUGUUAAGUCAGUUGUGAAAGUUUGCGGCUCAACCGUAAAAUUGCAAUGGAUACUGGCAGCCUGGAGUACAGUGGAGGUAGGCGGAAUUCGUGGUGUAGCGGUGAAAUGCGUAGAUAUCACGAAGAACUCCGAUGGCGAAGGCAGCCUACUAAACUGCCACUGACAUUGAGGCUCGAAAGUGUGGGUAUCAAACAGGAUUAGAUACCCCAGUAGUC
rnacentral:rRNA from 1 species